UUCUUUUUUCCCUUUCCCAGUUUGACUUUUGCCAUCUAGAGUUUGUAAAUUAAGUGGUCAGAUCUGAUCUAGCUUCCUUGAGAGGUGCCUUACUUCAAAAGUUCUCAGACUAAAAAAAAAUUCGCCCAUUUUUUCAAAUCUUUGAUGGUUUCAUUUCUAAUGUUUUAGUCUUUGCUCAGUCUGGAUUCCCUUGCUGUCUUCCUGUAGCCCCAUCUGUGACUUCCUAGAACUCCAGCGCCGUUACCGCAGCCUCCUGGUCCCCUCAGAUUUUCUGUCCGUGCAUCUGAGCUGGCUAUCAGCCUUCCCUCUGAGCCAACCCUUUUCCCUCCAUCAUCCGAGCCGGAUCCAGGUCUCUUCUGAAAAGGAGGCAGCUCCAGACGCUGGUGCUGAGCCCAUCCCUGCAGACAGUGACCCCGCUUAUAGUUCCAAGGUAAGCUGACAGGCGUCUGUCACUUAUCUGAUUUCUGGAGGCUGAAGGCAGCUCUGAGUGUCUCCUCCUGCACAGGUACUGCUGCUCUCUUCCCCGGGGUUGGAGGAAUUGUAUCGUUGUUGCAUGCUCUUUGUGGAUGACAUGGCUGAGCCAAGGGAGACGCCAGAGCAUCCUCUGAAGCAGAUUAAGGUAAGAGCUGGAGAGCAGGAGGAGAUGCAUUCACUGGUAAUGUCCAGAACCUGUCAUGUUUUGAGUGCUG
rnacentral:sRNA from 1 species